GACCCAGACUCCUACGGGAGGCAGCAGUGAGGAAUAUUGGUCAAUGGCCGAAGGGCUGAACCAGCCAAGCCGCGUGAAGGAAUAAGGCCCUACGGGUCGUAAACUUCUUUAGUCAGGGAACAAAGGGUGCCACGUGUGGCGCUGUGAGUGUACCUGAAGAAUAAGCAUCGGCUAACUCCGUGCCAGCAGCCGCGGUAAUACGGAGGAUGCGAGCGUUAUCCGGAUUUAUUGGGUGUAAAGGGUGCGUAGACGGGAAAUUAAGUUAGUUGUGAAAUCCCUCGGCUUAACUGAGGAACUGCAACUAAAACUGAUUUUCUUGAGUACUGGAGAGGAAAGUGGAAUUCCUAGUGUAGCGGUGAAAUGCGUAGAUAUUAGGAGGAACACCAGUGGCGAAGGCGACUUUCUGGACAGUAACUGACGUUGAGGCACGAAAGUGUGGGGAGCAAACAGGAUUAGAUACCCUUGUA
rnacentral:rRNA from 1 species